rnacentral:rRNA from 1 species
UAAGCGGAGGAAAAGAAACUAACAAGGAUUCCCCUAGUAACUGCGAGUGAAGCGGGAAAAGCUCAAAUUUAAAAUCUGGUGGUCUUUGGCCAUCCGAGUUGUAAUUUAGAGAAGCGUCUUCCGCGCUGGGCCGUGCACAAGUCUCCUGGAAUGGAGCGUCAUAGAGGGUGAGAAUCCCGUCUUUGGCAUGGACACACCAGGGCUUUUGUGAUGCGCUCUCGAAGAGUCGAGUUGUUUGGGAAUGCAGCUCAAAAUGGGUGGUGAACUCCAUCUAAAGCUAAAUAUUGGCGAGAGACCGAUAGCGAACAAGUACCGUGAGGGAAAGAUGAAAAGCACUUUGGAAAGAGAGUGAAACAGUACGUGAAAUUGUUGAAAGGGAAACGCUUGGAGUCAGUCACGUCGACCGAGACUCAGCCUUGCCUCGGCUUGGUGUACUUCUCGGCUGACGGGUCAGCAUCAAUUUUGCCCCUUGGAUAAUGGCGAGGGAAAUGUGACACCUUUAUGGUGUGUUAUAGUCUCUCGUCGCAUGCAAGGGUUGGGAUUGAGGAACUCAGCACGCGCCUUUUGGUGUCGGGGCUUUGCCCACGAUACGUGCUUAGGAUGUUGGCAUAAUGGCUUUAAACGACC